UUAACCAUGAAUUAUCAGAGCCAGUGGUAUUUCUUUGUGUAUACUAAUGCAACUGAGUCUUAAUUAAUGCUGAGUUCAAAAUACAUCCUCGUAUAAUUCAAUUGUAAUAUAUAUUCCCAUAUAAUAUACAUAUAUUCAAGUAUAUAAUACAUAUUCCAGUAUAUAAUACAUAUUCCAGUAUAUAAUAUAUUUUCCUAUAUAAUACAUCCUAGUAUAAUUCAAGUAUAGUUCAAGCAGAAGUACUUUGGCCUGUUAGCCCCUUAGAAAUAUGUGCCAAGCAGGCAAGUUAAAUUUUUAACUUGUUCCUCAGGUAAAGUGAAAAAAGUGUUGAUGUUUGGUUUUCCAGGGAUGUUUCCAUUCUUGCAUUGCUUUGCAAUGCUUCCUGAACAACGGCAGCUUAUGGCUAAUGAACCACUGGAAAAAUUGGGAUUUAAAGACCUGAUAAAUGAGAAAUCAGAAGAAAAACCUGAAAAGUUGUGAUGAAGACAGACAACUUUGCUCCUCAUGUAUGGAAUGCAUAACUCUAAAUGUAGUACAUAUUGUACCUUCUAUUCAUAUUGCAGUAGGAAAUGUUUUCUAAAGGAACAUUUUUUCCAGAGUUUAAUUUUCCUAAAAUAAGAGGUUUUUUUAAAUGAGCAAAAGUACUGCCUUUGUCUGCUUUGCUCAAGUAUUUCUUAACUUCUUUCUUUUAAUUUCUCUAGAGGGAAAACAGUUACUGCCUGAAGUGUUCUCCAUGUCUCUGUAAGAACAGUGAAGUCUUAUUUUAAAAGGACAAAAGCCCCAAACCAAACAACCCUUUAUUGUGUAGAUCUUGAACUACUGAUUAAUCUUGUGUGGGCAGUACUAAUAUGCUCAUAGGAGUUGCUUGUUAGGUGGAAAUAAAGCUGUUGUGGUACUUGCAAAUUGCUUUUCAUUAAA